UGCGUAGGGGGCAAGCGUUGUCCGGAAUUAUUGGGCGUAAAGCGCGCGCAGGCGGCCUUGUAAGUCUGUCGUUUAAACUCGGAGCUCAACUUCGAGUCGCGAUGGAAACUGCAAAGCUUGAGUGCAGAAGAGGAAAGUGGAAUUCCACGUGUAGCGGUGAAAUGCGUAGAGAUGUGGAGGAACACCAGUGGCGAAGGCGACUUUCUGGGCUGUAACUGACGCUGGAGGCGCGAAAGCGUGGGGAGCAAACAGG
rnacentral:rRNA from 1 species